AUAAAGGCUAUGAAGAGAAGAGUAAUUAUGAAGGAAUAUUCAGAGAGUUUUCGGUUGGUGUGAGGAAAUUAUGAAAACAUAAUGAAGCAAGUCUUGGAGCUGCAUACGGAUCUUAUGAAAUGAAUUAUAAGUGAUGCUAUGACGUGGGUUCACGUUACAGAACUAGAGUAUGAUUUUGCCUAGAAUUAUAGGAAGAUGGUGUACUUAAUGAGUCUAAAAUGGUGACAUUUUAGAAAAAAGGGUGGCAACGUGAAAUUGAAUUUUCGCCCCUGUA
rnacentral:ncRNA from 1 species